ACGGUCACUAGAUAUCCAGCGGGGUAAAGAAGACCCUGUAGAGCUUCACUUUGGUCUAGUCUUGUAUAGUUCCUGCGGGGGUGUAGACUAGGUGGGAGAGCAAUUCCGAUUCUGAAAAACCACUACCCUGUUUGGAAUUAUGCUUACCUAUCACAAGGAAUAGGACUAGAUAGAAAGUUUGGCUGGGGCGGCACACCUUCGAAAGAGCAGCGAAGGUGUCCUAAGUUGAGCUCAGUGAGGACAGAAAUCUCACGUUGAGGAUAAGGCCAAAAGCUCAAUUUACUGUGCCUUUUUGUACUAGGAUCAGUUACGAAAGUAAGGCCUAACGAUCCCUAAAUAGCCUCAGGUGCGUGAGGAUUGGGGUGACAGACAAGUUACCUCCGGGACAACUGGCUUGUGGCUGCUAAGAGAUCAAAUCAACGCAGCUUUUUGAUUCUUCGAUGUCGGCUCUUCCUAUCCUAGUGAUGUACAAGUUGCUAAGGGUCGGAUUGUUCACCCGUAUUAGGGAUCGUGAGCUGGGUUUAGACCGUCGUGAGCCAGGUUUGUUUUAUCCUACUGGAUAUAGCAUCAUGAUAGUAGAUUGAUUUAGUACGAGAGGAACUGUUGAUUAUGGCCUCUGGUUAGCGAUUAUCGGAAACGGUAUGUCGCGCAGCUACGCCGUCUGGGAUAAUGGCUGAAAGCCUCUUAAGCCAGAAGCCCAUCUAGAAAGUGAUGCACGUGAUGUUGGACCGAUACGAAUAAUCAUACUCAAAAGGUCCGCUUCAUAGGUAACCCAAUGUAGAAGACAUUGUGUGAACGAAGGUACUGUAAGCAGUGGAGUGGCAUUACGUCCACGACCUGUUGAGGUUCAGCUUCGCUUCUAGGUUUCC
rnacentral:ncRNA from 1 species